UUCAAUUUUGUGAGCUUGAAGGCCUGUGGACUUCAACUCCCAGAAUCCCCCAGCCAGCAUAACUAAUUAGGGAAUUCUGGGAACUGAAGUCCCCAAGUCUUCAAGCUGCCAAGCUUUGAGAAACACUGUCAUGAAGGAUUGAGUGACAUUAUUCCAGUCCACUGUUAACCAAGUCAAUGAAGAUCUGGCAGAUGCAUUCCCACAGCAUGCUAAGCAAGGAUACAACCGAUUACGUCGCUUAUGUUGCCAAGGAUCCCAUCAACCAGCGAGCUUGCCACAUCUUGGAAUGCUGUGACGGAUUGGCGCAAAGCAUCAUCAACACCGUCGGGCAGGCCUUUGAGCUCCGCUUUAAGCAGUACUUGCACAGCCCUCCCCAAACUGUAGCAUCCCAG